AAUUGUGAAUUUUGAGCUCAACCUCUCAAACUCGAUGGGAUAGAAAAAGUUAUUGUGCCUAAAGCAACAAAAUGAUUAAUUCACUGAAAUUCAAACUUUUUGGAAUUCUGGAUCUUUUCAUGUCUUUUAUUGAAACCUUGAAUUUUGUAUGUCAGUCAAAGUUUAGGUGUUUCUGCUUUUAUUUAUAUGCAGGAUUACUUUAUUUAAGUGUCCGGUUAGAUAGUUUAGGAAAUGUUAAGGUGCUUUGCCAGUGUUUUUUAUCUAGAUAUUUAAGGCUUAAGUUGUUUAAUUAGCUAGAAUGGGCUAGUCUCAGAAUAUAAAGGAAAUAUUAGAAAGUUAGGUAGUUCAAGGUAUCAAAUAUGGAAAGAAAGGCCUGGGAAGUAGAGCACCUUGAAGUGAUAACAUAAAUGAAACAAUUUGAUAUGCUUCAUAUGGUUUGAAGAGGCAGACAACACAUCAUUUAUGAUAUUUGUAUGAUUAGUUUUGUCUAUUAAUCUAUUGGUGUGAGAAAACUGUGAUCGAUUAAGGAAAAUGCAAUCCUUUGCCAUUACUGUAAAACAAAUUUUGUUGUCCAUCAACUUCCUUGUAUUAAGACUCAAUUUGUUUUGGGCUGUUAGCACUUCUAAAUAAUGGUUAAUGUUAGCAUUCUAA
rnacentral:misc_RNA from 1 species